rnacentral:piRNA from 1 species
UACAGUACCACAUUCUGCUCGCCACUAC